rnacentral:rRNA from 2 species
GCGAGUGAAGCGGCAAUAGCUCAAAUUUGAAAUCUGGCGCCUUCGGUGUCCGAGUUGUAAUUUGAAGAAGGUAUCUUUGGUUUUGGCUCUUGUCUAUGUUCCUUGGAACAGGACGUCACAGAGGGUGAGAAUCCCGUGCGAUGAGAUGCCCAAUUCCAUGUAAAGUUCCUUCGACGAGUCGAGUUGUUUGGGAAUGCAGCUCUAAGUGGGUGGUAAAUUCCAUCUAAAGCUAAAUAUUGGCGAGAGACCGAUAGCGAACAAGUACUGUGAAGGAAAGAUGAAAAGAACUUUGAAAAGAGAGUGAAAAAGUACGUGAAAUUGUUGAAAGGGAAGGGCUUGAGAUUAGACUUGGAAUUUUCCAGUAAUGGAGCUUUCCGGGCCAGCAUCAGUUUGGAUGGCAGGAUAAUUGCGUAGGAAAGUAGCACUACUUCGGUGGUGUAUUAUAGACUGCGUCGAUACUGCCUAUCUAGACUGAGGACCGCGUCUUUGACUAGGAUGCUGGCGUAAUGAUCUUAAGCCGCCC